rnacentral:rRNA from 1 species
UCGACGAUGAAUCUUCUAGCUUGCUAGAAGUGGAUUAGUGGCGCACGGGUGAGUAAUGCAUAGGUUAUGUGCCCUUUAGUCUGGGAUAGCCACUGGAAACGGUGAUUAAUACUGGAUACUCCCUACGGGGGAAAGUUUUUCGCUAAAGGAUCAGCCUAUGUCCUAUCAGCUUGUUGGUGAGGUAAUGGCUCACCAAGGCUAUGACGGGUAUCCGGCCUGAGAGGGUGAUCGGACACACUGGAACUGAGACACGGUCCAGACUCCUACGGGAGGCAGCAGUAGGGAAUAUUGCUCAAUGGGGGAAACCCUGAAGCAGCAACGCCGCGUGGAGGAUGAAGGUUUUAGGAUUGUAAACUCCUUUUGUUAGAGAAGAUUAUGACGGUAUCUAACGAAUAAGCACCGGCUAACUCCGUGCCAGCAGCCGCGGUAAUACGGAGGGUGCAAGCGUUACUCGGAAUCACUGGGCGUAAAGAGUGCGUAGGCGGGGUAAUAAGUCAGAUGUGAAAUCCUGUAGCUUAACUACAGAACUGCAUUUGAAACUGUUACUCUGGAGUGUGGGAGAGGUAGGUGGAAUUCUUGGUGUAGGGGUAAAAUCCGUAGAGAUCAAGAGGAAUACUCAUUGCGAAGGCGACCUGCUGGAACAUUACUGACGCUGAUGCACGAAAGCGUGGGGAGCAAACAGGAUUAGAUACCCUGGUAGUCCACGCCCUAAACGAUGGAUGCUAGUUGUUGCCUUGCUUGUCAGGGCAGUAAUGCAGCUAACGCAUUAAGCAUCCCGCCUGGGGAGUACGGUCGCAAGAUUAAAACUCAAAGGAAUAGACGGGGACCCGCACAAGCGGUGGAGCAUGUGGUUUAAUUCGAAGAUACGCGAAGAACCUUACCUAGGCUUG